UACGGAGGAUGCAAGCGUUAUCCGGAAUGAUUGGGCGUAAAGCGUCCGCAGGUGGCUGUGUAAGUCUGCUGUUAAAGAGUCUAGCUCAACUAGAUACAAGCAGUGGAAACUACACGGCUAGAGUACGUUCGGGGCAGAGGGAAUUCCUGGUGUAGCGGUGAAAUGCGUAGAGAUCAGGAAGAACACCGGUGGCGAAGGCGCUCUGCUAGGCCGUAACUGACACUGAGGGACGAAAGCUAGGGGAGCGAACAGG
rnacentral:rRNA from 1 species